AGCGAACGCUGGCGGCAGGCCUAACACAUGCGAGUCGAACGAACUCUUCGGAGUUAGUGGCGGACGGGUGAGUAACACGUGGGAACGUGCCUUUUGGUUCGGAAUAACUCAGGGAAACUUGUGCUAAUACCGAAUGUGCCCUUCGGGGGAAAGAUUUAUCGCCAUUAGAGCGGCCCGCGUCUGAUUAGCUAGUUGGUGAGGUAACGGCUCACCAAGGCGACGAUCAGUAGCUGGUCUGAGAGGAUGACCAGCCACACUGGGACUGAGACACGGCCCAGACUCCUACGGGAGGCAGCAGUGGGGAAUCUUGCGCAAUGGGCGAAAGCCUGACGCAGCCAUGCCGCGUGAAUGAUGAAGGUCUUAGGAUUGUAAAAUUCUUUCACCGGGGACGAUAAUGACGGUACCCGGAGAAGAAGCCCCGGCUAACUUCGUG
rnacentral:rRNA from 1 species